CCUACGGGAGGCAGCAGUCGAGAAUCAUUCACAAUGGGGGAAACCCUGAUGGGGCGACGCCGCGUGGGGGAAUGAAGGUCUGCGGAUUGUAAACCCCUGUCAUGUGGGAGCAAAUUAAAAAGAUAGUACCACAAGAGGAAGAGACGGCUAACUCUGUGCCAGCAGCCGCGGUAAUACAGAGGUCUCAAGCGUUGUUCGGAAUCACUGGGCGUAAAGCGUGCGGAGGCGGUUUCGUAAGUCGUGGGUGAAAGGCGCGGGCUCAACCCGCGGACGGCACAUGAUACUGCGAGACUAGAGUAAUGGAGGGGGAACCGGAAUUCUCGGUGUCGCCGUGAAAUGCGUAGAUAUCGGGAGGAACACUCGUGGCGAAGGCGGGUUCCUGGACAUUAACUGACGCUGAGGCACGAAAGCCCGGGGAGCGAAAAGGAUUAGAUACCCUGGUAGUC
rnacentral:rRNA from 1 species